rnacentral:rRNA from 1 species
CGCAUCUGUGCAUGCAGCAUAUCAAUAAGCGGAGGAAAAGAAACUAACAAGGAUUCCCCUAGUAACGGCGAGUGAAGCGGGAAGAGCUCAAAUUUGAAAUCUUAAAGGGUUUCCCUUUACGAAUUGUAGUUUAAAGAAGUGUUUUCUGUUGAGGUUUUGGUAAAAGUUCUUUGGAAUAGGACAUCAUAGAGGGUGAGAAUCCCGUAUUUGACCUUUACUUUCAACUUUGUGAUACACUUUCAAAGAGUCGGAUUGUUUGGGAAUGCAGUCCAAAAUGGGUGGUAAAUUUCAUCUAAAGCUAAAUAUUGGCGAGAGACCGAUAGCGAACAAGUACCGUGAGGGAAAGAUGAAAAGAACUUUGAAAAGAGAGUUAAACAGUACGUGAAAUUGUCAAAAGGGAAGCGUUUGACACCAGUGUUGUUUUUCUGAAAAUCAAUUAAAGAACUGUUUAUGCUAAGCUGUUUAGACUUUAUCAGCUAACUGUUUAGUUUUGAGCUUUUCUUUAAUGCACUUUUCAGUUAACAAGUCAACAUCAAUUUCUUUUGCUGUAAAAACGCUUGAGGAAGGUGGCUUGAGAUUCGUCUUAAGUGUUUAUAGCCUCUUGCCUAUGCAGUCGGAGAGAUUGAGGUCUGCAGCGUAGAUCCUUCGGGGCUAAAUGCAUUUGUGCUAAGUUAUAGCAUUUUAUAGACAACUUGUUGACUAUGAUUUGUCUUGUAGCUUACUCGCUUAUGUUAUUUUACCUACGCUUAGGAUGUUGAAUCUGUGCGAGACUAC